GUGCUCACUUUGGCAGUAUAGAUGCUAAAAAUUGGAACAAUACACAGAAGAUUAGCAUGACCCCUGUACAAGGAUGAUGUGCAAAUUUAAGAAGUGUUCCAAAAAAUA
ensembl:snRNA U6 U6 spliceosomal RNA